rnacentral:rRNA from 1 species
UACGAAGGGGGCUAGCGUUGCUCGGAAUUAGUGGGCGUAAAGCGCACGUAAGCGGCUUUCUAAGUCGGGGGUGAAAUCCUGGAGCUCAACUCCAGAACUGCCUUCGAUACUGGAGAGCUCGAGUCCGGGAGAGGUGAGUGGAACUGCGAGUGUAGAGGUGAAAUUCGUAGAUAUUCGCAAGAACACCAGUGGCGAAGGCGGCUCACUGGCCCGGUACUGUCGCUGAGGUGCGAAAGCGUGGUGAGCAAACAGG